rnacentral:tRNA from 1 species
GUCCAGGGGCGAAAAUCGAACCCACAACCUUCUGCUUACCGGGCAGGUGCCAUGUCCACUAGGCUACCCUGGA